GACGAACGCUGGCGGCGCGCCUAACACAUGCAAGUCGAACGGAAUCAAGAGGAGCUUGCUUUUCUUGAUUUAGUGGCGAACGGGUGAGUAACGCGUGAGUAACCUGCCCUGGAGUGGGGGACAACAGUUGGAAACGACUGCUAAUACCGCAUAAGCCCACGGUGCUGCAUGGCACUGCGGGAAAAGGAUUUAUUCGCUCUAGGAUGGACUCGCGUCCAAUUAGCUAGUUGGUGAGGUAACGGCCCACCAAGGCGACGAUUGGUAGCCGGACUGAGAGGUUGAACGGCCACAUUGGGACUGAGACACGGCCCAGACUCCUACGGGAGGCAGCAGUGGGGGAUAUUGCACAAUGGGGGAAACCCUGAUGCAGCGACGCCGCGUGGAGGAAGAAGGUUUUCGGAUUGUAAACUCCUGUCGUUAGGGACGAUAAUGACGGUACCUAACAAGAAAGCACCGGCUAACUACGUG
rnacentral:rRNA from 1 species